AGGAAUGCUAGCUAGGCUGAGUGUCUGAGCAAAUGUGGACAGCCAAAGGGAGCCUUGGCCAAAACUCUUCUCUCCUCUGUCUCCAGGAAUUGGAAGUGUCCCACUGAGGUGUCACCAUGAGACCCACCCAUCGGAGCCAGGCUUUGAAGGAACUGACCGCAGUGUGCAUGAGGAAGUACUUCACGGUGAUGACCCUCGCCACCCUCUCAGGAAAACACAGUGACCUCUCCCCCAACAUCCCCUUCCCACUCCCAGGUCCCCCGGCAAAGGCAGAAGAACCAAGCAAGCCUUUCCACCAAAGCAGCCAUGAACCCCAUUCUCAUCCUUUCCAAGAACUCUCUGCUAUACCAGAUAGGGGUUUGGGGUUCUGUUUUCCAUUUUUUAAAAAAAUCAUUUCAAGACUCUUGAACAGUGUGUCGGUUUACACUAUUCUAUCUUCUUAAGCCACCAUAUCAACAUAUUCACUCUGCUUCCUUUCUUUUCAUUUGGCAGAUGCCACACUUUUAAUGGCAGCAAUAAAAGGUGUUUCUAUCAAUGCCAGGUGGGCAGCCCUGACCAUCUAAAGCCUCGGAGAGGGUUAUACCAAGUCUCCUGUACACCUCCGUGCUAGUGACAACAUGUGGGGACCUCUCAUCCCAAAGUUUUGGGACAAAGUCUCCCGUCCCUUAUCAUUUGUUUUCACUGAGGCUAAAUGUAUCUGUUCAGUACAUGGAUAGAUUUUUAAGCUCCUCUCACAAAGUCUUGUGCUUGAGACAAAAUCAGCCCAGGUUCUGCACUUUGUCUAUAUUUCAGCAGCUCUCCUGCUUGAUAUUAAAAAUAGCCUUGUCUAGUCCAUCGAGAUCAGACCCAGGAGACAGGCGCCUGCUAUUCUAAUCUCUGCUUCACAAAUAGCUCUCUAUGGGCUCAAGCAUCUAUCAACACUUCCAGGGGUCUCCAGUUAUAAAACAGGGCCAGGCCUAGUCACCUAUAAAGGUAGGCUCUGCUUAACUCCCCUGAGCUGUCCAUGAGGUUAGCAUGAGGCCUACAACAAUCACAUUUCUACCAUGGACCAGAGACUUCCAAUGGUGACUCAAAACUGAGAAGCAGUUAAGAGCAUCCCCCACACUCAGGGUAUCCUGCAUUUCCCAGGCCAGAACCUACAAAAGGUUCCCUUGAGACUCAAACUCAAGCAGCACUGGUAAACAGGCUGCCCCUCCCCGCUUCUUCCCUCCUCCUGCAAACCACCCCCCAUCCCUCACUUUCACCUCCCUUCCUCCCCAAGCCCAUCUUGUACUCUGUGAAAAACUGUAGUCCCCUCAGUUGCCAAGGGAACCAAGCCUUUUAUUCCAUCCGUGACUAGCUGGUUGGGCUGAGGAGUGGGGCAACAACUGGUACCCAGGCCUUUGGAAGCCCAAGCCCUCCCUUUUUCCCAAAGGGGGAGGGGUGGGCUGCACCCCCCGUUGCCUUUUCACCCAAACCCAGCUGGGUGGGACCGAGCCCUUGGGCUCUCAGGAGCUCCCUGGCUGUGGGCUGGGGAGAUCAGUGCUCCCCAGGCCCUCCUCUGGCCCUGGCCCUUUCCAGAGGACAAUAGCCUUCAUGCAAGGGAAAAUUCCAUCGCCCAGGGUUCAAGUCUCCAAGGAGUUGCUGGGGCCUCUAUUUAGCCUGGAGUGGGCUCUGAGGAGCCGCUGCAGCUGCCCGGCUUGUUUUCCCCCUCGCUGUGUUUUAUUUUUAACCCCUGAGCUGCCAAGGAUUGUUUUUCCCCAACCAGUGCCUGGGAACUAAGGGAGGGAAGAAAUAAGGCUUUGUUCCCUUUGGGGAACUAAUUGGGAAAGACAGGCAGUGUGGCCAGCUUGGCUCUAUUAGGGUGUGGGGCUCCCACCCCUCACUGCACAACAUCUUCACCCCAAUCCAUACCCAGGAGGCUGGGAGUGCAGAAGUGCCCCCCAGGAUGCAACCAGAGGCCCGGGGGCUGGUGGGAACGCAAGUGCAGCUUCAAGACUGCAAAGGCAGCUCAGAGCCACUUUCUUGGGCUCCGAAGAUAUUCAGGAAAUAAGAUGUUGGGAGCUGGAAAUGUCUAUUUUUCCCAUUUCAACCCCCCCCAAACUAACCCCUGCUUUUCUCCUGCUGGUGGUGGUGGUUGUUGUUUUCCAGACCUGCAUAAUGAACUCUAGAAGAAAAGUGAGGGAACUCAAAAAAGUAAGAAACCAGAAAAUAAAGACAUUAUACUUUUAAACACUAGGCUAAUCAAUGGGAAACACCCAGCAACCCCACUUAUAAGUUUACUCCGUAAAAAAUAUUCCUUAUACUCAGAAAUUUAAUUUCAUUGCAAAUCAGCUAGGAAUUAAUGAAAAAUUUCUUCCACGGCCAUUUUAUUUUAAGAUCAAAUGGAUUCCAGAUAGGGACCCAUUAAGAAUCUAAGGACCAUUUUGAUCCCGUCUAGGAACAGAGCAAAUUUCUAAGGAAUCACCCACUUGCAGCAAGCCAGCACAUUCAAGUUAGGGCUGUGGCAUAUGACACCCAGUGCGUUCAAGUAAAGACUGCUCGUCUAUUUACCAAGAAUAUUUGAGAAAAGAAAAUGCCCCUGCCUGGUGGACAAUAGCACAAAGCAUUUCUCUGUACCUGGGCACAUUUGUUCCACUCGAUAAAAGAGGACCCCUGACCCAGGUACACAGGCAGUUGGAGAAGAGGACAACGAUGAACUGAUACAAAGAUGAGAAAACUGAAACAAGGUCACAAACCAGAUGAUCUAAAGGGUAGCCACUACUGCCUCCUAAAGAACCCCAAUCAGGAAUCCCAGAUUAAUUUGCCCAGCAUCCUGUUUGGAAACCACAUGUCCACCCUGCAACUGUACCUGGCUUGUGUCCCACAAGGAGGAAGAUGCAGGGGACUCCGGAAGCUAAGGAGGAGAUUGUGAACUCAGGCACCAAAUCCAACAAGCUCCCCGAGGAACUUACAACAGUCUGUUUUACAGAGAAGUAAAUGUUGCUGAGAGAGAAAAUUGUCAGGCCUCGGUGUUCCAGAGCAAGAGGCAUUCCUUCAUUCCCAGAGAGGCCCUGGGCCUCAGCAAGCAAGCCCGACAAGCCCUCCGCAGCCAGAAUCCAAGCUUCAGGCUGCACCUCCCUCACCGCUGGGCCCUGGACAGUGAGGCUGCUGCUCAGAACCCCUCUCCUCAGAGGGAAAUUCCUCAGGGCUGCCCCACCCGACCCGUUCUAUCAGUCACUCAAGCCCUCUAUCCUCUGUCACAGCCUGGCUCUGUCCCUUCCCAUGCCCCAACCCCCAACCUCCCAGGACCCAGUAUCUCAGGAUUUCUGCCCUCCUCCAGCCCCGAGCAGCCUGGAAGCCAAGUGGCAAGGAUGUAGUCAGCCGGGUGGGCCCUGAGAGCCGGUGGAAUGGUGUCCAUGUUGCAGGAAACAAGGGAAGGUGAGGGGUACAGGGGUGCCUGUGCCAGGCCACCACUCCACAGCUCAUUCUUCUCUGAGGUUAUUCCCCGACCCAUACCCCUCUGGAGCCCACCCCAGCUGCUUCCUCUUCCUAGGGGUCUCCACCUGAUGUUCUGUGACUCCCCUGAAAAUAAACUUUUGAAAGGCA